GUCAUUCUUUGAAUUAUGGGAGCUCUCAGUUCAUGCAAAUGCCAUUACAUUGUACAGAAAAAAGGAUGGCACAGAGGCAGAAUCAAAUGAAGACUAUGGGAUGUUAUUCAGAUUAUCACAGGAGGGAGGCAUCACCUAUACAAAUUUAAUCCAGCAAGUCUCUGUCUCACCUAAUGCAAAUCUUGCUGGUGCUGAGGUGGUAGGUGGUCUUCCUCUGCUCCAAAACACUUAUGGCAGUUUCAUGCAGCUAUUGCAAGCUCCUAUUGAAUCAGAGAGUGCUCUAUAUUUGACAUCCAAUAGAUUUGAGUAUGACAACACCUUUUGGGGUUUUGAUCCUCACAAUGGUUAUCAACAAAAUGACCUGCAAAAUGCACAAACAGACACCUCUCAGAUGUGCAACUCUUUGCCACAAAGUGUAGCUGUGCAUCCUCCUGUGGCAUCACUGGACAUGCUAUAUGAUGAAAUGCAGAAAUCAAGCGCUGAUGUUGAUAAUCAAGCUGAGAUGUGCAGGCCAACAGUACAAUUGAAAGCAUCAUCUGUAGAAGUGAUUUAUAAUGAAAUGCAGACUCAAACUAUUGAGGCUGAUGCCUGUUUUGACCAGCACUUUGAGCAAGCAACAGAAGAGGAUUUAUUGUCUGAUCAUGCAAUAGUUACAUUUCAGCAAGUUGAGGAAAUAGAACAAGAUAAAAGUGCAGAAAAUCCAGAUCAAAAUUUUAGUGAGGAAGAUAUAAACAUAUUUCUGGAGAAUGAAAGUGUAGCUGUUGUUCAGAGAGGUGGUCAGGAUGCUAACAGUGCACAUGUGCCGUCAAUCAACAAAGUUUUUGCUGAUGAGAAUGAAGCUUUUGACUUCUACAAUGGUUAUGCUUAUAUGGUUGGUUUCUCUACAUGCAAAGCUAGCAAUUACCAUAGCAGAAAAACCGAUGUUGUGACAAGGCACACGUUCAAAUGCAACAGGUUGAGGAAACCAAGUGAUCCAAAGGAGAAGGACCUGCCUGAGGUUGAUGAAGUUGAGAAUUGUUUGCAAACAAACACAACAAAUCCAUUGCACAGUAUGAAAGGAUUGCAGAAAACAAUUUAUGAGUGCUUCAAAGAACAGGAAUCGCUGACUAGGAAUACUGUUCCAGAUACUUGGUCAGAAUAUCAAUUUGAGAAGCAAGCUGCAAAACUGUAUACUAGGAAGAUAUUUUGGGCAUUUCAGCAUAUCUUGCAAAGCUAUACCAAGUAUGAUGUGACCGUGAAAGUGCGUGAUUCUAUUUUUGAGGUGUACAAAUCAGAGAUUCAUGCACUACAGGAUUUCAGAAAAAGGAAGUAUAUUGUGGUUGUUGAUACUAUAUCUGAAGAAUAUGAAUGUAUCUGUUCAAGAUUUAAGAAGGAUGAAAAGUUUAUAUAUGUGAUGAAUGAAAGUGACAAGAUUGAAGAUGGGUUGAAGGCAAUGAGUGAUACGGCUCCUAACGAGGCUACUGUUCAUGUUCAGGAUGCGGCGGCGACAACUUGUGGUGUAGCUUCUGUUGGUGCUCAAAGUGGAAUAUUGAUGGGUCCUAGUGGUGUUGGUAUUGAUGCUGAGAGCACAAAGGGUGCGGUUGCUGAAACUGAAACAACAGAUAUGGUUGGAAUUGCUUCUACUUCUGUUUUACUGGAUCCAAAAUGCUCUAAUAGCAAAGGCAUAACUGAUUAUUAA
rnacentral:lncRNA from 1 species